rnacentral:rRNA from 1 species
AGUGAACGCUGGCGGUAGGCCUAACACAUGCAAGUCGAACGGCAGCACAGUAAGAGCUUGCUCUUACGGGUGGCGAGUGGCGGACGGGUGAGCAAUACAUCGGAAUCUACUUUUUCGUGGGGGAUAACGUAGGGAAACUUACGCUAAUACCGCAUACGACCUACGGGUGAAAGCAGGGGAUCUUCGGACCUUGCGCGAUUGAAUGAGCCGAUGUCGGAUUAGCUAGUUGGCGGGGUAAAGGCCCACCAAGGCGACGAUCCGUAGCUGGUCUGAGAGGAUGAUCAGCCACACUGGAACUGAGACACGGUCCAGACUCCUACGGGAGGCAGCAGUGGGGAAUAUUGGACAAUGGGCGCAAGCCUGAUCCAGCCAUACCGCGUGGGUGAAGAAGGCCUUCAGGUUGUAAAGCCCUUUUGUUGGGAAAGAAAAGCAGCAGGUUAAUACCCCGCUGUUCUGACGGUACCCAAAGAAUAAGCACCGGCUAACUUCGUG